AUAGCUUGCUAUCAAUGCUGACGAGCGGCGGACGGGUGAGUAAUGCCUGGGAAUAUGCCCUGAUGUGGGGGAUAACUAUUGGAAACGAUAGCUAAUACCGCAUAAUCUCUUCGGAGCAAAGAGGGGGACCUUCGGGCCUCUCGCGUCAGGAUUAGCCCAGGUGGGAUUAGCUUGUUGGUGGGGUAAUGGCUCACCAAGGCAACGAUCCCUAGCUGGUCUGAGAGGAUGAUCAGCCACACUGGAACUGAGACACGGUCCAGACUCCUACGGGAGGCAGCAGUGGGGAAUAUUGCACAAUGGGGGAAACCCUGAUGCAGCCAUGCCGCGUGUAUGAAGAAGGCCUUCGGGUUGUAAAGUACUUUCAGUUGUGAGGAAGGCAGUAAAGUUAAUAGCUUUGCUGUUUGACGUUAGCAACAGAAGAAGCACCGGCUAACUCCGUGCCAGCAGCCGCGGUAAUACGGAGGGUGCGAGCGUUAAUCGGAAUUACUGGGCGUAAAGCGCAUGCAGGUGGUCUGUUAAGCAAGAUGUGAAAGCCCGGGGCUCAACCUCGGAACAGCAUUUUGAACUGGCAGACUAGAGUACUGUAG
rnacentral:rRNA from 1 species